rnacentral:rRNA from 1 species
AGUGAACGCUGGCGGCAGGCCUAACACAUGCAAGUCGAACGGCAGCACAAGAGAGCUUGCUCUCUGGGUGUCGAGUGGCGGCCGGGUGUGGCAUGCAUCGGAAUCUGCACAUUUGUGGGGUAUAACCUCGGGAAACCGGGACUAAUACCGCAUACGACCUACGGGUGAAAGCAGGGGAUCUUCGGACCUUGCGCAGAUGGAUGAGCCGAUGCCGGAUUAGCUAGUUGGAGGGGUAAAGGCCCACCAAGACGACGAUCCGUAGCUGGUCUGAGAGGAUGAUCAGCCACGCUGGGACUGAGACACGGCCCAGACUCCUACGGGAGGCAGCAGUGGGGAAUAUUGGACAAGGGGCGCAAGCCUGAUCCAGCCAUGCCGCGUGUGUGAAGAAGGCCUUCGGGUUGUAAAGCACUUUUGUUGGGAAAGAAAAGCAGCCGGUUAAUACCCGGUUGUCAUGACGGUACCCAAAGAAUAGGCACCGGCUAACUUCGUG